AAUUGCAGUCAGACAUCCCGCUGCGCAUACUGGUUCCCACACAGUUUGUAGGGGCAAUUAUCGGCAAGGAAGGUGCCACUAUCCGCAACAUCACCAAACAGACCCAUUCAAAGUCUUUAUGUGGACCAAACUGAGAAGACUAUACGAGACAGGCAAUAAUACAGUAAAAAAAAUGUUAAUUUUUCAAUUAAAUAAAAGCAUGUCAGUAAACUAUA